UAACCAAAUAUCUGCCACUUCACUUUCACUUUUGGGCGUAAUCCCUUAAACCCUUCCCUUAGCCAAACAAAAAAAAAAAAAAAAAAUGCUUCUCCAGCCUUCAUCGUUGCUGAAUCACCGUUUUUCGAUCUCCUCAGCCGAUUCUUACUCUCGGCAGCUCCCAUGCCGGAUUCCCAAGUUUAUCCUUUCCAGAACCCCAAGUUUUCAGAAGCUGCCGGUCAUGUGUUCCAUAUCUCAAGUCCAUAGCUAUGGGACCGUGGACUUUGAAAGAAGACCCAUGGUCAAAUGGAACGCUCUAUAUAAGAAAAUAUCGCUCAUGGAAAACCCUGAAUUGGGUUCUGCCUCUGUGUUGAAUGAGUGGGAAAAAGGAGGUAGGAAGCUCACCAAGUGGGAGCUUUGUAGGGUUGUCAAGGAGUUAAGGAAGUACAAGCGUUUCAAGCAAGCACUUGAGGUGUAUGAGUGGAUGAACAAUAGAGGAGAGAGGUUUAGAUUUUCUGCAAGUGAUGCUGCAAUUCAGUUAGACCUUAUUUCUAAGGUGCGUGGAGUUUCAAGUGCCGAAGAUUUCUUCCUUCAACUCUCUGAUACUUUGAAGGACAAGAGAAUCUAUGGGGCCCUUCUGAAUGCCUAUGUGCGGGCAAGAAUGCAAGAAAAGGCAGAAUCUUUAAUUGACAAUAUGAGGAAUAAAGGUUAUGCCUUGCAUCCCCUUCCGUUUAAUGUGAUGAUGACUCUAUAUAUGAACCUUAAGGAGUAUGAUAAAGUUGAGUCAAUGAUUUCUGAAAUGAUGGAAAAAAACAUACGUCUAGAUAUAUAUUCCUAUAACAUCUGGUUGUCAUCUUGUGGAUCCCAAGGAUCUGUGGAAAGAAUGGAACAAGUAUAUGAGCAGAUGAAAGAAGAUCGGAGUAUCAAUCCAAACUGGACUACAUUUAGCACAAUGGCUACCAUGUAUAUCAAGAUGGGACUGUCUGAAAAAGCUGAAGAAUGCUUGAGAAAUGUAGAGAGUAGGAUCACCGGUCGGGAUCGUAUACCAUAUCAUUACCUUAUUACACUUUAUGGUACUGUUGGUAAUAAAGAGGAGGUGUAUCGGAUAUGGAAGGUUUACAAAUCAAUUUUCCCCAGUAUUCCAAAUUUGGGAUAUCAUGCUAUGAUAUCAUCUCUGGUUAGGGCCAGUGAUAUUGAAGGGGCAGAAAAGAUUUAUGAAGAGUGGCUAUCAGUUAAAACAUCUUAUGACCCUAGAAUAGCAAAUCUUCUAAUGGGGUUGUAUGUUAAAGAAGGAAACUUGGGUAAAGCUCAGAGCUUUUUCAAUCACAUAGCUGAUGUGGGAGGAAAGCCAAAUUCAAGCUCAUGGGAGAUUCUUGCUGAAGGGAAUAUUCAAGAGGAGAGGAUCGAUGAGGCUCUAUCUUGCCUAAAGGAAGCUUUUGCAACUGAAGGUUCAAGAAGUUGGAGGCCAAAGCCCACAAAUGUUUCUGCCUUCUUUAAUCUCUGUGAUGAAAAAGAGGACACGGAAAGUAGGGAGGUUGUGGUGGGAUUGUUACAGCAAUCAGGAUAUCUCAAAAAUGAAGCUUAUGCAUCACAAAUUGGCUUAUCUGAUAGUGCUGUUGAAAGUGUAUUGCCAACGUAUAGUUCAGGCGAUGAGAAUCAGGAUGAUGACUCAGAGGUGCUUCUCAACCAACUGCAGGGCAGUGCGUGAUAACUAUUAUUUAAAAUCUUUAAGUGCAGGGAAAGUUUUGUAUCUAUCUUUUCAUGGAAGCCAUGAGUUAGCAUAUGCUCUGAUGUUGGCAAGGAAAGUGAACUUAUAGCCAUUUCUCCCAACCAUUUUGUGCAGGGGAAGCUUCACUUGGCAGAGAUAUACGUGAAAGUGUGCUCAAGUGGUUCUAAGGUAAAAUAUUUUUAAUAUCUGAAGCGUUGAUCAUUGAUGAGAAGUGGGAGCAAAGGUGGGUCAAAUGUAAAAAAGAAAAAAAAAAAACGAAUCCCAGUUUUGCAAGUUUCGUUGAUAAUUUGAUUAUCACAAACAACAGUAUUUUGAUGUGUAAAACAAACUGGUGCAUCAUUUUCUGUUUUCCAGCUGGAAUAUUUAUAUCAGGCUAUACCCCCAUGAGCAUUCAUACA